GCUUCAUCCCAAGCCUGACUUACGUAUAUGGUUACAAAGCAACUGAAAGACUGUUCAGGACUUGAGGUUCAAACUCCAUCCCUAUAAUCAGAUUGCAAACUCUACAGAGUAUAGUUUUAGUUUAGUUUAGGUUUUAGUUGAGUUUGGUUUAAGAAAAAAGUUUUUCUUCCUCAUAUCCAAAGAAAGAUACAUAUAGAAAAUUGUUAGAACUUAAUCAAAAUACUUGAAAAUAUAUAGGUCUUUAGAUACUGCUGUUACAUGUAAAUACUGGAGCAAAAUAUUGUUAAAUGGAAUGGUUAUUAAUGUUAAAGAACCAGGGGAUCUUGUAAAUGUUACAUUCAUGUGGAAUUUCUCUUUAAAGCAAAAUUGUAUACCUAUCAGCAAAGCAGCAUUUAAAGGGGUUUUUGAUUGGGAUGUGAGAAUGGUCUUAUUCUAUAUAAAUGGUAUAAAAGUAUGGCAUUUACUAAAAUGGGAUUAUCACUGGGAAACCUCAGGAGUAAUAAUAGACCUCUUUAGGACUAAUUGGAGGAAAGUAGUACCUGGAAGGUAGGGUCUUUCUACUGAACAGCAGAUUGAGAACUGAAUGUACAAAAAGGUGCUGGCUACUGCUGUAAGUUCUUAACAGUGAUUAGAGGCAGGAAGAUUCUGUUGGUGAGGAAAAGGGAAACCAAUAGCCCUAACCCAGCUCACCCACUCCUUUCCCCCUUUUCCUCCUUCUUCUUUUGCUUCUUGUUUGCAGAUCCACAGUUGAGACCCUGUGCUCUGUAUGUCAAGGUCACACUUGGCUCAUUGUUUCCGAUGUCUCCACUCUUAGGAUACAGGACACCAGUCUGCCGGGCCUUUGGGGUCUCAAAUAAAAAAGCGAGGUCUCCUAUAGGUUCUUCAGCAAGUCUCUCUGUCUGAGGUGUUUAGAAUUGUGUAGAAAGAUGGUCUCCAGUUAGGUUUCUUAUCAGCCAGCUCUGGGAUAUAAAGACCUUUGCUAAAUAUCAUAAAGUACUGCCUCCCUGCUUUCCUGCUUCUGCCUUCCGUGGGAGCAGCUGGCACAGUGUACCAUUGGCACAUAGUAGGGGUUCCCAUAUUUCAGUUAACUGAAGAGUUGCAGGGUCGGGGAUGAAAUUGGGAAAGAGGUCCCUAGUAGCAGAGUUGCUGCAGAAAGAAGUAGAGAAGACUAUUUUAGAAGGCAUGUGGACAGAGUGGCGCUGACCUGAAACAUGGAAGCUGUCAUCCUUUCCUUUGUUCCUAAGAAAGUACAGGGGAAGGUGAAAAUUCAUACCAUAAAUGACGUUCUGCACUCAGCAUGGGAAGUUACCUUUCCAGAUGAGGUUUUCUUCACAAUUAACUUCAGUUUUUACAUUUUUAUUUUCUAGAUUUUGGAAGAUUAUGCCAAACCUCCAUAAGAGAUUAGAAAAAUAUCUUUUACAAAGACAUUAAUAUAUACAUGAGUAUAAUUAAAAUGCCUUUUUGGUGUAAUAUUGUUAAUGAUUGUUAUGCGGAGGAAAAAAAAAUCCCUGAGUGUCAGCUACUGUGAAAGAGGCAUCUUUUCAGUUGUUGCUUUAUUGUGCACUUGCACCUAAAUCCAUUUGCUGGAUGUAAUUCGAGCUGCUCUGAGCCCAAGGAGUUGAAGGAAGCGGUCAGUAUUCAUCAGUGAGACCCAUGCUGGUUUUAUGCAGAUGGAUUUUUCACCUUCUAUUUACAGUGUUAACUGACAGAUUCCACAGAUGGUCAUUAAUUUAGAGACAUCAUUAGCCUACCAUGUUACUUUCAAUGAAUACUUGGAUGAAAGUUAAUAUAGGGAUGAAAAACUAAAUGCAGGAGGUUAUUGCUAGGAACAGUUGGUUCACAACAUUUUGCAGCAUGGAUGUUGACACAGGCAGAGUGAAAACUUUGUACUGAAGAAUUCAAUUGUUGAACAAAGUUCUUUGGUUUUGUUGUUGAUGCAGUGAUGAAAAUGUGUAUUAAAGUCCUUAAUGUGAUUGCUGGACUAUCAGGUUCUCUAACAUACAUCAUUGAUGAAACAGCAUUAUUCCAAUAGCAUGCAGAUGUUAACAGUUUACAUUUUGUAAUUAAAGAAACUGUGGAAUUUAAUUGUUAUUCUUGAAGGAGUUGAACUCAAAAUAGUUUUGUUUCCAGCGUUGUUGCAGUAGGUAAUAGUCUAUUCACAUCUCUGCAUUUAACAUAGAAAAUGACUAAAACCCAGUAAUUCAGGGAGUUAAAACUAAAAACAAGUGACAUUUCACAGCAAAUGCUGUUCUGAGUCUUUGACUCCUGUGAUUCCAUAUAAUUAAGUGGCAUUGUUCUGAUGACUGCAGCAUGUCAUACAAUCUGAUACUGCAGAUUUUGCUCAAAGUAAUCUGCCAAUUUACUGCAUAUGUGUACUAAGCAGGUUAUAGUUUAUCUGAAUAAAGAGUCUAUUUGAAAGUUCAUUAAACUUGUUAAGCCUAUAGGAUUUCCGUUGGAAAGUGUUUUUGCUUGGACAUCUGUUUAAAAAGUAACUAAAUAAUCUUCAUUAGAAGUGUUUAUAUUCAUCUGUUUUAGUUUUGUAGAUAGAGCUAUUGAUCUGAUAUCAGGAUGACCAUUAUCCAUCUUUUCACGGCCUGUCUGACUACAGGUGUUUUGUCUUAUUUUUUGACAGCCUUCUUUGUAUUAACGAUCUAGGGAGUGUGGGGAUAUGAUAUAAAUAUACAGUUAUAUAAACCUGAGAAUAUGCUGCAAUGUCUAGUUCCUUUGGAUACCUUAGAAGUAAUAUGUUUGUUGGAGGCACUUGUGCUGUUUGUUUAAUGUUUGGAUUUUACAGUUUUUGGUGUAUUCUCAUCAGUCUUAGCUCUAGAGUUCAAGCUCUCACUGGGCAGUGAUUACUGUCUAAUGUGCAAUUUGGCAUCUAAUAAAUGCUUUUUUAUGAUGAUGACAAUGAAGUGAACUUUAAAUUUUUUUUUUUACACUUUAGUAGUUUGAGAUACCAAUGAGUUGUGACAUUGUGUGGCAGGAUUGUGGCUUGGAAGGGGUUAAUGAGUGACUUCAGCCGUUUAACAAUGGAGGUAAAAUCUUUUGCUCGCCGGAAGUCAGAAGAAAACUCCAGCACAGCUCCCGGGAGACGGCGUUAGACGUCAUCUUCCCUUCCAAUCUUUGCUCCACGACGGCUAUACCUCCGGCCACGCAGGCCACCAAAGCCCUGCGUGGGCCGCCGUCUGGAGCGGGGUUUGAAGCUGAGGACUCGUGGAGUAAGGCUCCCAGAAGGCUUUGCGAGGCCUGGGAGACCUUGCGGCGCUCGGCCACCGGCAGCGCAGGCCGGCGGAAACACCAACGAGACGAGACGCGCUAGAGCGGCUCACAAGGCUGGGAAUCGAAAGUCCUACGCUUACUUCCAUCGCCCUAUUCCGGCAGCAGAGCUGCGCGUUCCUGUAGCGGCCGUGUUGCUCGGCCAGGCUCCCAGCCCACCUCCGCCACCCAACGAGAGGUGGCCUCUGCAGAACCCGAGCGGAGCGGGUGAGAGCGUCUGCGGAGGGCUCCUCUGGUCUCUCCCUCCGCACCAGCGGGAAGGUUACGCGGGGAGACGUGUUCAUCACAAGUGAGGGUGACAGUGCAGCUGUGUUCCGUGUGAUCGAGAAGAGGUAUGUUAUGCUGUGAGAGGGGUCGCACCUGGCCAGAAAGAGCUGAGAGCUAAACACCGACUGGACUUCAUUGGUUGGAGGCUUGUGGAAAGGGCACAGGGUCCUAACAGAGAACAUAACAAGGGCCUCAGGGAUCCUGUUUCCAAGGCCUCCAACAAGAGUCCACACCAUUGAGCUGAGGGUCACCUUUAUUUUGGCCAAAGAAAAGACCCAAACUUUCAAGGUUUCAUGGGCAGCUCGGAGUAGAAUUGAAAAGAAAACUAGAGAGCAUUUUGUCUAAAACCUCAUUUUACUGAUAAGGAAACUGAGGUGCAGGCAUCUUAGAGCUCAGUAAUUGGCUGCCUGCAGCACUGAAAAUGGAACCUGGCUCUUCAGUGCCUUUUGCCCAUCCCAGGUCUUUUCCCACCAUCUCAGGCUGUCUCCUGGUCAGGUUCAAGUGCAGCGGCACAUGUGUGAUCAGCUAACUCCUUGUGAAGAAGUAACUUCUGUCUCUCUCAAAAAGA